rnacentral:ncRNA from 2 species
CUCUUAUCCCGAGCUGGUGGAGGGACAGGCCCGAUGAAACCCAGCAACCUGCUAUAUGAGGAAAGCAGUCGAAAAAAGGAUAUUCCUUUUUUAACUGGUCAUUUUCUAAGCAAAGGUGCUAAACCUGAGGCAAGGCUAGACCUUGAACGAUAAGAG